rnacentral:rRNA from 1 species
CCUACGGGAGGCAGCAGUGGGGAAUAUUGGACAAUGGGCGAAAGCCUGAUCCAGCCAUGCCGCGUGUGUGAAGAAGGCCUUCGGGUUGUAAAGCACUUUCAGUGGGGAAGAAAGCCUUGGGGCUAAUACCCUCGAGGAAGGACAUCACCCACAGAAGAAGCACCGGCUAACUCCGUGCCAGCAGCCGCGGUAAUACGGAGGGUGCGAGCGUUAAUCGGAAUUAAUGGGCGUAAAGCGCGCGUAGGCGGUCUGAUAAGCCGGUUGUGAAAGCCCCGGGCUCAACCUGGGAACGGCAUCCGGAACUGUCAGGCUAGAGUGCAGGAGAGGAAGGUAGAAUUCCCGGUGUAGCGGUGAAAUGCGUAGAGAUCGGGAGGAAUACCAGUGGCGAAGGCGGCCUUCUGGACUGACACUGACGCUGAGGUGCGAAAGCGUGGGUAGCAAACAGGAUUAGAUACCCGGUAGUC